GUACUCACUUCAGCAGUUCACAUUUGAAAGUUGGUAACCUACAGAGAAGAUUAGCAUGGCCCCUAUGCAAGGAUGACAUGAAAAUUCAUGAAGGGGUCCGUAUUUUA